GCCCGCAUAGAUCAACGCAGAUCAUCAGUCCACCUUCGACAUGUUGCUCUUUGAGUUUGUAUACAGGAGACGGAGGUUCGACUCCUCCUGCGGGCA